rnacentral:rRNA from 1 species
AGAGUUUGAUCCUGGCUCAGAAUCAACGCUGGCGGCGGGCCUAACACAUGCAAGUCGAGCGACCCGCAGGGGGAGCGGUGACGGGUGAGCGACCGGGUGAACAUACCCUCCGGUUCGGAAUAUCUCAUGGAAGAUUGGAUUAAUACCGGAGACGGACUACCGGAUAAAGAUUUUUCGCCGGAGGAUUGGCACACGUCUGAUUAACUUCUUGGGGUGAGGAUGGCGCGCCUGAGUAACUAUCUGGAGCUGGACUGACACGAUGAUCAUUCAAUUUGGAACUGACAUGCGAGCCAAACUCCUACCGCUGGAACUGAUGCGGAAUAUUGAACCCUGCGGGAAGGCCUGAUGCAGACUUGUCCCGAGAGUGAUAACCCCCUUAGCAUUGUAAACCUCUGUCGCAUGAAACCACUUGGACCGUACCUGCCUUACAACCCCCAGCAAACUUACUACCCGGAUGCAAGAAAAUACGAAUGACUUUAGGCCUGUUCCCAAUUACUGGGCGUAAAGGCCGUGUUUGUUCGUCAUUAUUGCACGUAUGAAAUGCCUAGGCUCAGCCUUGAAACUGCCUUUGAUACUGUAGAUUUUGAGUCCGCCUGCAUGAGUGGAACUGCGCUUGUAGAGGGAAAAUGUGCGAUAUAUUCCCGAUGUACCGUGGAAAUGCGCGGCUCACUGGGACGAAACUGACGCUGAAACGCGAAAGCGUGGACCAGCAUCUGACGAUUAAAUACCCUGAGCUACCGGCAGCUGUAAACGAUGAGAUGCUCUCCGUAGGCGAGCUUGCUCCUGAUGUGUGCUUGCUAACGCUUUAAGCAUCCCCCCGUGUGUGACUACAGCUAACACGAUUAAAAUCCCACCUAGUUGACUACGGUCCCGCAGAAUGCAGACUCAGCAUGAUGUUUUCAGUUCGCAAGCAACACGCGGUGCGUUAUCUGCUUCUUGUCAUGUCCUGGACGAAUAGCUUAACAUGCGAUCUUAUCUUCGGAGACCGGACAAAGAUGUGCAUUUCUGACGAACGCUUGUUGCAGUGCAUGCAUGGCUUAGUCCGCUACGAACGGAAACGUUCGCUAGUUCCCUACAUACGUAGCCCUAUCCAGUGGUCGACGGGUAUAAGCCGGAAAUGUGGAAUAGACCGAAUACCUGACAUACGCAUGACUCAAGGUCUAGAGCGUUAUGUAACAGAGUUAUGCA